rnacentral:rRNA from 1 species
AGAGUUUGAUCAUGGCUCAGAGCGAACGCUGGCGGCAGGCUUAACACAUGCAAGUCGAGCGGGCGUAGCAAUACGUCAGCGGCAGACGGGUGAGUAACGCGUGGGAACAUACCUUUUGGUUCGGAACAACACAGGGAAACUUGUGCUAAUACCGGAUAAGCCCUUACGGGGAAAGAUUUAUCGCCGAAAGAUCGGCCCGCGUCUGAUUAGCUAGUUGGUGAGGUAAUGGCUCACCAAGGCGACGAUCAGUAGCUGGUCUGAGAGGAUGAUCAGCCACAUUGGGACUGAGACACGGCCCAAACUCCUACGGGAGGCAGCAGUGGGGAAUAUUGGACAAUGGGCGCAAGCCUGAUCCAGCCAUGCCGCGUGAGUGAUGAAGGCCCUAGGGUUGUAAAGCUCUUUUGUGCGGGAAGAUAAUGACGGUACCGCAAGAAUAAGCCCCGGCUAACUUCGUGCCAGCAGCCGCGGUAAUACGAAGGGGGCUAGCGUUGCUCGGAAUCACUGGGCGUAAAGGGUGCGUAGGCGGGUCUUUAAGUCAGGGGUGAAAUCCUGGAGCUCAACUCCAGAACUGCCUUUGAUACUGAGGAUCUUGAGUUCGGGAGAGGUGAGUGGAACUGCGAGUGUAGAGGUGAAAUUCGUAGAUAUUCGCAAGAACACCAGUGGCGAAGGCGGCUCACUGGCCCGAUACUGACGCUGAGGCACGAAAGCGUGGGGAGCAAACAGGAUUAGAUACCCUAGUAGUCC